UUAGGAACUUCAUUACCAACUAACCUUCAAAGAUCUGGCGGAAACUUCUUGAAGAUAACAGAAUGUGGAGAAUGCAUUAAUUAUACCGCUACCAGAGACACAACAUGCCUUUCUUUUCUCAUGAGCCUUCUUUUAAAGAAUUCCUGCCCUGUACUUCUCACAGGAGAAUCUGGUGUUGGGAAAACUGCUGCCAUUAAUCAAAUGCUUGAAAAGCUAGAGGGUCCAGGAGCAUUUGACAUAAAACAUGGUUCAAUUUUAGGAGACACCCUAUUAUAUAGUGAAAUAAAAAAAUCAAGUAGCCUAAAACAGAAUAUCACCAUCUUGAUUCCUGAAACUCAUAAGACAGCAACUGGAAGUUCA
rnacentral:lncRNA from 1 species